rnacentral:rRNA from 1 species
GAUGAACGCUAGCUACAGGCUUAACACAUGCAAGUCGAGGGGUAACGAGGAGAGAGCUUGCUUUUUCCGUCGACGACCGGCGCACGGGUGAGUAACGCGUAUCCAACCUACCUUCAGCUAAGGAACAGCCCGUCGAAAGGCGGAUUAAUACCUUAUGUUGUUUCAUGAUGCCAUCAGAAAGAAACGAAAGAUUUAUCGGCUGAGGAUGGGGAUGCGGCUGAUUAGAUUGUUGGCGGGGCAACGGCCCACCAAGUCAUCGAUCAGUAGGGGGUCUGAGAGGAAGGUCCCCCACAUGGGAACUGAGACACGGUCCAAACUCCUACGGGAGGCAGCAGUGAGGAAUAUUGGUCAAUGGGCGAGAGCCUGAACCAGCCAAGUAGCGUGCAGGAUGACGGCCCUAUGGGUUGUAAACUUCUUUUGUAUGGGGGUAAAAUGCUCUACGUGUAGAGUUUUGCAAGUACCAUACGAAUAAGGAUCGGCUAACUCCGUGCCAGCCGCCGCCGUAAAAC